rnacentral:rRNA from 1 species
GUCUGCAACCCGACUACAUGAAGCUGGAAUCGCUAGUAAUCGCGAAUCAGCAUGUCGCGGUGAAUACGUUCCCGGGUCUUGUACACACCGCCCGUCACACCAUGGGAGUUGGAAAUGCCCGAAGUCAGUGACCCAACCGAAAGGAGGGAGCUGCCGAAGGCAGGUUCGAUAACUGGGGUGAAGUCGUAACAAGGUAAC